CCCUUAGAUGUCCUGGGCCGCACGCGCGCUACACUGAUGCAUGCAACGAGUUUAUAACCUUGGCCUGAAAGGUCUGGGUAAUCUUUUGAACGUGCAUCGUGAUAGGGAUAGAUUAUUGCAAUUGUUAAUCUUGAACGAGGAAUUCCUAGUAAACGCGAGUCAUCAGCUCGCAUUGAUUACGUCCCUGCCCUUUGUACACACCGCCCGUCGCACCUACCGAUUGAAUGGUUCGGUGAAUAAUUCGGACUGCAGCAGUGCUUGGUCCUCCGGGCUUUGCAGUGGAAAGUUUAGUGAACCUUAUCACUUAGAGGAAGGAGAAGUCGUAACA
rnacentral:rRNA from 1 species